GACGAACCGUGCGAACGUUAUUCGGAAUCACUGGGCUUAAAGCGCGUGUAGGCGGAUGGGAACGUCGGUCGUUGAAAGCCCCGGCCUCAACCGGGGAACCGGCGCCGAAACGACCCGUCUGGAGGGAGCGUAGGGGACCUGGAACUUCCGGUGGAGCGGUGAAAUGCGUUGAGAUCGGAAGGAACGCCCGUGGCGAAAGCGAGGUCCUGGACGUCUACUGACGCUGAGACGCGAAAGCUAGGGAGCGAACGGG
rnacentral:rRNA from 1 species